GGGCUGUGAUUUAGUGGUAGGACAGCUGCUUUGCAUGUAGAAGGUCCCAGGUUCAAUCCCUGGCAACAUCU